GGAGAGGCUGUAGCUUAGCGGUAGAGCAUCUGAUCAGCAUGCAGAGGACCCCAGGUUCCAUCCCUGGCAUCUCCA
rnacentral:tRNA from 1 species